UACAGAGGUGGCAAGCGUUGUUCGGAAUUACUGGGCGUAAAGGGCGCGUAGGCGGUUGGAUAAGUCAGCUGUGAAAACCACGGGCUUAACUCGUGGCCUGCAGUUGAGACUGUCUGGCUUGAGUGUGGGAGAGGAGAGUGGAAUUCCUGGUGUAGCGGUGAAAUGCGUAGAUAUCAGGAGGAACACCGGUGGCGAAGGCGGGUCUCUGGGCAACAACUGACGCUGAGGAGCGAAAGCGUGGGGAGCGAACAGG
rnacentral:rRNA from 1 species